rnacentral:lncRNA from 10 species
GAUGUGACAUUGUUCAUAAUACUCAGGGCAAGUCUUUCCUGUGUUUGUCCCAUGAUAGGGAAUAAGUCUCUUGAGAUCUGAUGGUUUUAUGAAGAGGAGUUCUGCACAAGCUGUCUCUCUUUGCCUUUUGCCAUCCACGUUGUGGGAGGUACCCGGUGGUUGGUAAUUGAAUCAUGAGAGCAGGUCUUCUCUAUGCUGUUCUCAUGAUAGUGAGUAAGUCUCAUGAGAUCUGAUGGUUUUAUAAAGAGGAGUUCCCCUGCACAAGCUCUCUCUCUUUGCCUGCCACCAUCCACGUUAAGAUGUGACUUGCUCCUCCUUCUGCCAUGGUUGAGAGGCACCCCCAGCUUAUGGAAUCGUAAGUGACACAAGCAGAAUCAACCUUUGGAAGAUCAUCUAUUUCCUGCUGGGUUGACUGGAAUGUGUGAUACGACCUAAGUAACUGACAGCCUGUGUGCAGAGUUCCUAAAUAACGAAGCCAGACCAUCAUUGCUAUGGGUGAAGCCAGGAAGUGACUGUGGAUGUGAACAAAUGUGAGAUUCAUGUACACGUCUCCAAAGACAGAGGCCACUGAUCUGGGGAGAACCUGCAGUCAUUUCACUUUCCCAUACCCAGAUGAGAGGACACCUUGAUCUGUGUUCAUCUGAUGAACUCUAAAAUCUGGACCAUAUUCUGAAGGCAAAUACCUAGGAGUGCAGUUACUGGGUCUUACAGGUGCUCGGGCUCACACCUGUAAUCUCAGCACUUUGAGAGACCAAGGAGGAAGGAUCACGUAAGGCCAAGAACUUGAUACCAGCCUGGGCAACAUAGGGAGACCACAUGUGUACACACACACACACACACACACACACACACAAUUUGUGAACAGUGGCAUCAAGAAGUGAUUAUUUAUGAACAUUGGCUAAGAAAAUUACAAAAUAAAGCAAUGUCUUCUGAGCUAACAAUACUAUAAUAAAGAUGUCAAUUAUUUAACUGUAGAAAAUACAGAGAACAUGAAAUUGUCUAUCUUAACCAUAUUUAAAAGUGCAGUGCAGUGGCAUUAAGCAUAUUCACAUGUUCUGCUAUUAUUACCGAUACUGU